rnacentral:tRNA from 1 species
GCCUCCAUAGCUCAGCGAAUUCAGAGCAGCGCCCUUCGAAGGCGAUGGUUCCAGGUACUCUACGAGAAGGCAAAGCCUACGAAUCCUGGUAGAGGUG